GAACACAUUUUGAGACCAAUGAGAUCACUGCUCAAACGGCUGUCCUGUCUCGCCGGGCCUUGUCGCCGUCGAGGUCGCCGCUGCCUCCACUCCAGCCCUCACCCUCUCCUCCCCACCUUCUCCCGCCUCUGCGACGAUGGCCCCCUCCCCGCCGCGAUCGCGCUGCUCCCGGACCUCGCCGCGGCCGGCGUCCGCGCGGACCCCAUCUCCCUCUGCCGCCUCAUCAAGCUCUGCGUCCGCCAUGGCACGGCCAGCGACGGCCGCCUCAUCCACCAGCACGUCUCCAGCGCCGCCAUCAAUGGAUCAGGAGGAGAGCCCCACGCCAGCCUCUUCGUCUCCAACUCCCUCGUCUCCAUGUACGCCAAGUUCGGCCUGCUCGACGACGCGCUCGAGCUGUUCGGCACAAUGCCCGAGAGGAACGUCGUCUCGUGGACAACUGUCAUUUCAGCUCUGGCCAGUGCCGGCGGGAGGAAGCAGGGUGCGCUGAGGUUUCUCGUGGACAUGCAGAGGGACGGAGUGGCUCCCAACAGCUACACCUACUCGAGCGUCCUUGGCGCCUGCGGCACGCCCGGGGUGCUCGCCGCCGUGCACGCGAGCAUUCUCAAGGUCGGGCUGGACUCGGACGUGUUCGUGCGGAGCUCCCUCAUCGACGCCUACAUGAAGCUCAGGGAUUUACACAGCGGCCGCAGCGUCUUUGACGAGAUGGCGACCCGCGAUUUGGUCGUGUGGAACUCGAUCAUUGCGGGGUUCGCGCAGAGCGGGGACGGCGUCGGGGCGGUAGAGCUGUUCACGAGGAUGAAGGGGUCCGGUUUCUCGGCCAACCAGGGCACCCUCACCAGCGUCCUCCGGGCCUGCACCGGGAUGGUCAUGCUCGAGGUCGGAAUGCAGGUCCACGCCCACGUGCUCAAGUACGACAGGGACUUGAUCCUGCACAAUGCGCUUCUCGACAUGUACUGCAAGUGCGGGAGCCUGCAAGAUGCGGACGCCUUGUUCAGAAGAAUGCCUGCUAGGGAUGUGAUCUCAUGGAGUACCAUGGUCUCCGGUUUGGCGCAGAACGGGAGAAGCACCGAGGCGCUGAAAGUUUUCGACCUCAUGCGGUCCGAAGGGCCUGCGCCGAACCGCAUAACCAUGGUUGGAGUUCUGUUUGCGUGCAGCCAUGCCGGUUUGGUGGAAGAUGGUUGGCACUACUUUAGGUCGAUGGAGAAGCUCUUUGACAUUCAGCCUGAGAGGGAACACUUCAACUGUAUGGUUGAUCUCCUUGGCCGGGCAGGGAAGCUUGACGAAGCGGUGAAGUUUAUCAGCGAGAUGAACUUCGAGCCGGACUUGGUCAUAUGGAGGACCCUUCUUGGGGCGUGCAGGAUGCACAAAAACGCCAACCUUGCAGCAUAUGCAGCGAGAGAGAUCCUUAAACUUGAGCCCGAAGACCAGGGUGCGCGCAUAUUGUUGUCAAAUACAUACGCUGAUUUGCGACAAUGGUCACAUGCCGAGAAGUCGUGGAAGGCGAUGCGAAACCAUGGGGCCAAGAAAGAGCCCGGGCGAAGCUGGAUCGAGCUGGGGAAACAGGUCCAUGUGUUUAUUGCUGGUGAAUUUUCACACCCAUGCUCCGCUGGUAUAGUUCAGGAACUGAACCGGCUGAUCAGGCGGGCCACAGACCUCGGUUACGUCCCGCAGACAGAGUUUGUGAUGCAGGAUCUUGAGAGUGAGCAGAAGGAAGAUCUGCUGAAAUAUCACAGCGAGAAACUUGCCGUUGCAUUUGGAACAAUGAACUCAAUGGAAGGGAAGCCUGUAAGGAUCAUGAAGAACCUUAGGAUCUGUGGUGACUGUCACUCAUUCGUGAAGCUCGUCUCCAAGAGUGAAGACAAGGUGAUCAUCAUCAGGGACCCUGUUCGGUUCCACCAUUUCCAGGAUGGAGUUUGCUCCUGUGGCGACUACUGGUAGAUUGGCAAGGCUCAUGUUGUGACCAAUGGCUUGAUCACGCAAGUUUCAAGGUGGGAAUGGUGCGGUUGUGAAUGGGCAUUUUGGGGCGGAUUUUGCUUCGGUCUCAGUUCGAUUGGGCUGAAAUGGGUGCUACUGCUACAGCAAAGCGGACCUGAUUGUUGUGGGCUGAACAGCUGAGCGGUCUGGAGCGGUGCGGUUUGGACUCAAACCGCAAAAUUUACAGCGGGCUGGUACCCGCGGGUUCAACGCGAGUGCUGACCGCCGAAUCCCCUCCUUCAUGUAGUCCAGUUUUCCCCAUGGCCGCCGGCUCGCCGCCUCUCUAGCCACCCCUUCCUCCAGCGCUGCCGCCUUGAACCGCUACCGUAACUACCGCCACGCCCCCCUGCAGCACUGCCCAGAGCCGCCAGCCUCGGUCUCUCGGUCCCUGACACCCUGCUUUAAUCUAGGGUUUCUUGCACCACCGCUGUCUCCGCCACUGCCCCCUCCUUCGGCAAGGCGGUAAGCUCACCACGUCGUCUGCAGCAUUGGCAAGAAGGCAAGCUCACCACGUCGUCUACGGCACUGGCAAGAAGGCGCUCACAGCAUUACCCUCACUGCCCUUCUCACCAAGGUGCACUAGACAAGCUGGGAGUAUUACCGUGAUGUGGUAGCCAGAUUUGGCAAUCGCCUUCGCUCUCGUCUGUCUCGCGCCACAACAUGUCUACACCUCCUUCAUCAGAUUUUCGUUGUGGAGAUGAUUUAUAAUUUCAUAAAUAUUAAUUUAUGGAGAUGCUCUAGGUCAAUUAAGUAUUUUUUGUUAUUGAAAAGAUCGUGUUGUAUGAAGAAAAAAUUGUGUGGCAUGAU